GACGAACGCUGGCGGCGUGCUUAACACAUGCAAGUCGAACGAUGGAGCUGGAGCUUGCUCUGGUGGAUUAGUGGCGAACGGGUGAGUAACACGUGAGUAACCUGCCCUGGACUCUGGGAUAACCCCGAGAAAUCGGAGCUAAUACCGGCUAGGACCUCGGAUCGCAUGACCUGGGGUGGACAGUUUUUCGGUCUAGGAUGGACUCGCGGCCUAUCAGCUUGUUGGGGAGGUAAUGGCUCACCAAGGCGUCGACGGGUAGCCGGCCUGAGAGGGUGACCGGCCACACUGGGACUGAGACACGGCACAGACUCCUACGGGAGGCAGCAGUGGGGAAUAUUGCACAAUGGGCGAAAGCCUGAUGCAGCGACGCCGCGUGGGGGAUGACGGCCUUCGGGUUGUAAACCCCUUUCAGUCGGGACGAAGCGCAAGUGACGGUACCGAUAGAAGAAGCACCGGCCAACUACGUGCCAGCAGCCGCCGUAACAC
rnacentral:rRNA from 1 species